UAUUCUGAUACAGACCAUCUCCAGCCCCAGACACAGCACAUCACCGACUCCAAAUCCACCAACGGCUACCCAGGCAUGCCGAUUUGAUUUUGAUAGUGCCAGGGAACUUGGUGUUAACCAUACUUACCGGCAUAGCCUUGACUCGUUCUUCGACGUGCUCUUCUAGCUGUGUGCCCGUACUGAGUCCCGUAAAGAGCAGGCUACAGAAGUGGUGAAGGCGAUAUCCCCGGGCAUUUGACAAGGCCAUCGAGGACAGGGAGAAAGCAACUGAACGGGCGUUGUGCUUGGAGUUUCUUCUUCUUCUUCUUCUUCUUCUUCUUCUUGUAUAUUUUCUUCGUAGGCAGCCACUAGCCCGCAUCACGUUAGACGGCGGCCUAUCCCCAGCCACCGCGAGGAGACAUCUAGAUAACUAGGAGAUCCGGGACGGUGGACACUUCACUUCGAUGCCAUCCAUUGUCCAGUAAUCCCGUCCUCCAAUUGAUGCUAUGGUCAGAUAUAGCAGCAUAUGUCCGUUGCCCCUCUGAAACACCUCUAGCUCCGGUGCGCAAGCCUUGCGUUUCAACCGGGCCUCUCUCUCUCUGUAUAGCAUAGUUAUACAAAUAUAUUUCCUCAAUUUUCCGCCGCAUAAGACCCAACGCACUCAUCCAGCCGAACCAAUUAACCCCUAGAUCGCACAAUUGCACACCCCACAGGGACUAAUCACCUGCAUAACCACCCUUAAGGAACCAAACCACAUCACUCCAGCAAUGGACUGGCUGUACCCCUUCAGUGGCAUCGGCCGCCGCGCACGCAGUCGAGACCGCUACUCCACCACCACCACCACCACCUCCUCCUCCCGCCACAGUCACGGCCACGGUCACGGCAAAAGCCACAGCCGGUCCUCCCUCUUCAACCUGGGCGGGCACGCCAACCGCUCCACGACGUCUGCCGCCUCCCUGUUCUCCAUCGGCAGCGCGGGAUCCUCGUCGUCGCGCCGCGCAAGGCCGCGCUCGGGCUUCGUUGCCCGUGUCGUGCGCAGCAUCCGGCGCCUGUUCCGGCAUAUCGUGCGCUAUGCGCGCAGCCAUCCGCUGAAGGUGUUCUUCAUGGUCAUCAUGCCGCUGAUCACGGGCGGGGUGCUGCAGAAAUUGCUCUCCGUCGUGGGCAUACGCCUGCCACCGUCAUUGGGUGGGGGC
rnacentral:sRNA from 1 species